GCCCCCGUAGUUCAAUGGAUAGAAUAAGGGACUUCUAAGCCUUUGAUGGUGGUUCGAUUCCACCCGGGGGUA
rfam:Candidatus Buchananbacteria bacterium RIFCSPHIGHO2_01_FTLL_39_14 rifcsphigho2_01_scaffold_1149, whole genome shotgun sequence.